GGAAUCGCUCUCUUCCUCUCAGCCUCAAGUGCCACUUUCCUUACUGGUCGAGAGGGCUCCCCAGACACUGUGCUGCAGUCUGAUCUGCCUCGGUGCCCUGCCCGGACAGCGUGGAAGGCGCUGCUCGUGUUCCCGUGGUCUGCCUCGGUGCCCUGCUCUCCCUUUUCUCUCUGGAACAAAGUCAUUUGUGCUUUGCGGUGGCAUUCUCAGCUGUGAAAAGUCUGAUUUAAAUGAUUUGGCAAAUGAGUGGUUCUCCAUUCACACCGCCGUUCUGCCUCCUUGGUGGUGGGCGUGGGCUGCGGCUCACACCGGCAGCAGCAGGAACAAUGGACUUCACCUGUCCACGCGCCCAGCGCCAUUCCCAGUCCUGAGACCUGUGAAACCCACUGGACAAGAUGCAGCUCUCGUUCUCAGAGACAAAGGGCCCUGGAGCCUGCAGGAGGUGGGGGGUGUGGCUGGGAGGCAGCUGUGAGUUGCCAGCGUCCCGCACGCUGUGCCCUCCUGCAGCCCUUGCCCGGCACGGUGGGAAGUGACUCCAGCAACCACUCCAGAGUCCAAGCCUAGAGCUCAGAGGUGGCAGGAGAGGCUUCUCGGCCGAGUCGGACGGGGAAGCCUGUGGCUGCCGAGAUCACAGCCGCGGUGUCAUCCCAAACCAGGGCCGGUGCUGUGGCUUUCACCCUGGAUGUGACUUGCCAUCUUGGCUAAUCUGAGCCGAGGGAGGGACGACGAUUUCUCAUCCCUUACACUUCCGAAGGACCUUCUAUCCCACACAGCGACCCUCGCUGCAGAAACUGUCGGAUGCCAGCGUGUGAUGUGUGCUUUCCCGGAGGAGAGGAGACAUGGGGUCUGCGUCUCCCUGGGUGCGAAUUUGGACACGAUGCAGGCAGGGAGGGCCCCCCAUCCCUCAAACCCGCCAUUAAUUCCCCUGCUUUUCCUGAGUCAUGGAUUUGAAAUGCCUUUGUCUAGAUCACAUCAGAUCUUAGAGGUGGUGAACUGCGGGCAUUUGUCUUGGGGAUAGUGGGUGCUACUCCUCCAGGGACCACGAGCAGCUCCCCAUCCUGCCUUCUGGGGACUGAUGAAAAUGCUCCCACUCCACACCUCCUGUGGUCCGGGCAGCCCAGGGAGUGAGAUGCUGGAGCCGGGUCAGGAGCUGGGCGAGGUGCUGGAGCCGGGUCAGGCGCUGGAGCAGAGCCAGGUGACCUCCCAUCAAUGUCACCCUCAGACCAAACCCAUGACGCAGGUUUCAAUCCCAGCUGACACUUAGGUUCUGGGUGAUCGUAGACAUUGUUUAUGCCUCUUUUUUUUAAUGUUUGAUUUUUCUUAAAAGACUACUUUUUCAGAGCAGUUUUACAGUCACAGAAACAUGGAGAAGAAGGUCCAGAGAGUUUCCAUAUGCCUCCUGCCCCCACACAGGCACAGCCUCCCCCACCACCAACCUCCCAGGCUGGAGACGUGCAUUUGUGCCGGGCGAUGAACCCGCACGGACGCAUCCGAUGGUCCGGAUCCCGGAGCUCACUACGGGGCUCCCUCCUGGGGCCACUCACUCCGUGGGUUUGGACAAACGUGUGAUCGCAGGCAUCUGCCCUGUGGUGUCCCCCGGAGCAGUUUCACUGCUAAACAUCCUCUGUGCUCUGCCUGUUUGUCCUUCUCUCCCGAAGCCCCUGGCUACCUGUCAUCGUUCUACUGUCUCCGUAGUUUUGCCUAGAAUGUCAUCUAGUUGGACUCACGCGCGCUGAGUGACACUCCGCUGCCUGGAAGUGCCCAGUUUAUCCAUUCACCGACUGAAGGGUAUCUUGAUCGCAUCCCCGUUGGGCCAGUGAGAGGAAAGCUGUGUGAACCUCUGAGUGCAGGUUUCCGUGUGGACGAAGGAGUUCAGCUCUUUUGGGCAGGUACCAAGGGUUCUUAGGACAAUGGGAAGAGCCUGUGUGAGUGUGGGAAAGGCAGCUGCAGGUCCCGUGCUGAGAAGGUCCCUCGCCUAGAAGCCAGUGCCUCUGGUCUGGUUCAGGCCCUGUCUGCACAGUGAGUCCAGCUGGCAUCCAUAGGAAGAAAGGGUGUUCCCCGGGCGUGCUCCAGAAGCAGCUACACAUCUGUCGGGCUGCAGCAGAGGCUGCAUCUCAGCGUGUUCCCUGGAUGCCCCUGACCCUGUGACGGCUCAGAAACAGCAGCUGUGGGCAAACCACGGUGACGGCCAUGUGGGCCCAGCUCCCUCCUGCUGCUCUGGCCAGAGCCCGUUGCCGUGGUGGCAGAGGCAUCUCUGGAUUUCCUGCUGCAGCAGGACAGAGUCCACAUCAGGACUUGAAUGUUCCCUGCAGCACAAGGAGGCGAGAGAGAGUUCGGGAAACUGAGGCAGGAGAGGCUGAAGUUGCCAGAGGUCACGCGCUAAGGAGCUGCAGAGCCAGCUUUGCGUCCCUCCCCUGUGGGGCCCCAGGAGGGCUGUGAGGCUGGGGAACCCACUGCGGGGUCCGGAGCUCCAGGAUCUGGUGCUGAGGCCCUGGGAGGAAGAGGGAACCUACGGACUGCUCGUGGCUCCCCUACUCCCGGGGAAAUGCAGGGAAACUGAAGCCUGGGCUGUCCCCUCUCCCAGCUGGCAGAGGGCCCUCAGGACCUAUGGAGAAGCGCACCUGCUCCCCUGGCUUCGGUGUGGCCGCACUCACGGUGUCGGGAGGACGUGGACGUGCUGUACUGCACCUUUAAAGGAAAGUGCUACGGCUCCGCACGCCUUCCCCCCACCACCCAGUGCCAUGGCUCCGCACGCCUUCCCACCACCCAGUGCCAUGGCUCCGCACGCCUUCCCCCCACCACCCAGUGCCAUGGCUCCACACGCCUUCCCCCACUCCAGUGCCACGGCUCUACAUGCCUUUUCCCCCCCAGUGCCACGGCUCCACAAGCCUUUUCCCAUCCUACAAUUGUCAUGUAUUUUUCAUGAAAUGAGUUAUUUGAAAGAAACUAAUAUUGUCCAAAAUAUAGAACUUCUUUUGGAAGUUUUGAAGAAUCUUGGACUCCAAGGGGCUCCUCUUUUGAAAGCUGUUCCCUUCUCUGACCACAGGGGCUGGGAGGGGCGUGCUAGGCCUGCACGGAGCCUGGGCGGGGUGUAGGAGGACCUGGAGGAGUGCUGGAGCCAGGCAAGCUGGGCUGCUACCAGGAACCCGAACCCCUCCAGACACCCCGGGAGAGGUGACCCACCUGCCCCUGUGCGCAAGUCACUGAAAGUUUUGGAGCCUGGUUUUCUUACCUGAGAAAUGGGGCUGAUGAUCGUCCUGACUGAUCGAUUGGACCACCCGGUACACCACUGGCCUCUCCGAUCCACAAGCUUCGAAAGCAUUUUCAUAUCAGGAUCCUGCAGAUGUGGUCAAGACAAGCACUGGGCUGGGCGGGGCCCAAGUCCAGGAACAGGCAUCCUCCUAAGAGGAAAGAGACCAACACGGUGCCAUGGGAGGCAGGCGAGGCCCUUGCGAGGUGAUGAAAAACCUGCUGAAAUAGCACAGAGCAGCCCCUCCCGCGGUGGUUCAUAGCAUUCAUCCCCUGAGAGCCCACACAGGCCACACCACCGGCCCACAGAGGGGAAGCUGAGGCAGGAGCCUAAUGACUCGCCCCAGGCCUCAAAACGAUGUGCACUGGGGCUGUUUCCACUAUUAAGUCAACAAUCUCUGCAGUUUCUGCUUAAUGGUCUCAAUUAAGGUUCUCUUAAUAAAGAACAUUUGUGGAGAAGAUGGGUGGGGCUGACACAGUUCUGCGGUCCACAAUGCCUCUGAAUCCCAGUGAAAACAGGCUAGAGCCUUCUCAGCUCCCAAGGCACAACCAAAAUACAGACAGACAGGAGCGCC
rnacentral:lncRNA from 1 species